CAAGACCCGGCCCUCUGGGUGGGCUCGUUUCUAUGGACACAAACAGAGGCCAGAAGGAAACCGAAUGAAGCCGCCCCUCGGCGUCCCUCCAGAACCCCUUUAGGGGGAUCCUGGGCGGCUGUGGGGUUCCCAGGAGGAAUCUGUGCCCCGAGAGGCUCGCCUGAGCCUGUGGACCCCUUCGUGCUGCUCUUCGGUCACCCUCAUUCCUGGAGGAGGCUGCAGAGGCCGGACGGUCCCCCCAAGAUCAGAGGGGGGCAGGAACAACAGGGUUCUGAGCAGCCGGAGCCAGAAGCUCCUCUUCCUCCCCUCAAGACAGUCCCCCCAGCCUCCUCUCUGGGCCCAGGACGGGGUCUCUGCAGACUUCGGCCUCCUUUCCUGGCCUUCCCACGGAGGCAGACGUUGAUCAGAGAGGCCUUGGCCCAGUCUGCUUCCCUCCUGCACCUCCCUGUGUCUGCAUCCCUUCAUGGACCCAUUAUUCCGGCUUCCUCUUCCUCCCAGACACCCCCUUUCCUCUCCCAGGGAGCCGACAAGGCCCCAGACCCCCUCCUGCUCUGCGGCAGUCCCUGAGAGACCCUGGACAAGUCACUUUACUCUGUCUGCCUCAGUUUCCUCCCCUGACAAAUGAGCUGCAAAAGGACAUGGCAAAGCCGCCCAGCCUCUGCCCAGAAAGCCCCAAAGGGGAGGAUCAGACAGGCCUGACCAGCCUGAGCCCAGCAGCCCUGCAGACAGACACACAGACACCCCCAGACUGUCCUCUGUCCAUCAGGGUUCCGAGCUUGGGCUCAGUGGCUGCUGCUGCCUUCUGUGGCCUCCUCCAGGGCAGGAGGGGUUCCUGGGCCUCCCCCAGGCCUCUGGAGGGUCUUUGGGCCUCUGGGCUGGGGUGGUGCUGAAGGAGACCCUCCUCAGCCGGCCCAGAGGCCCAGGAGAGCCCGAGGGAGCAGCUCUGCUUCCCCCCAGAGCCUCUCUGGACCAGCUUCCCCACAGCCCUCGCUCAGGUUCUUUUUGUCUGGAUAUCACAUGGGGGAAACUGAGGCAAAGGCUGGGAAGGAACUUGGCCAGGCUUCCCCAGAUGGGCCGUGUCUGAGGCCAGAUUUGAGCCCAGAUCUUGGGGGUUCCAGGCCCAGGAGGGCAGCCCCUGAGUCACCUGAUUCCUCCUCUGGGGAGAGGGUUGGCGCUUCUGUUGGGGAGCCCCCGGGGUCCCCCAAAGCAGGAGCAGCAGAAAGAUCCCUAGAGGAGGGGAAGCUGUAGGAGGGGGGGGGGCUGGGCCUGGAGAGUCAGCGGCUGCCCUGUGCCUCAGUUUCCUUUUCUGUCAGAAGGGGGGUCCUGGCACCCCCUCCUCAGGUCCUGGGAGAGGAUGGAUCCAUUACCUGAUCAGUCAAUAGACACUUAUUAGGCCCCUGCUGUGUGCCAGGCUCUGACCUGAGGCAGCCUCCAGUGGAAAGAAGCAGCAACAGGGCAGGGCUGGAGGGGAUAUGGGGGGAGGGGAGAAGGCUGCAGCCCCCUGGGCUGAGGAACAUUUCCUAUAUGACCCCUCCCCCACCAGGAGGCUUGACCCAGGGACCCAGGCAGGAGAACUCCAUUUCCCAGAAUGCCCGUGUCAGGAUACCUUGCAUGUCUUGCUCUCCCCAUAGAAGACUGCAUUUCCCAGAAUGCUGUUUCCUGACUUCUCCCUAGUCUGGCUCCUCCCCCUGGGGCAGCUUCUAGGCAUGUUGGGAGUCAGCAGUGGGCUGCCUCAGCUCCUGGAAGUCUCACAUCUGUGCUUUUAGGACCUUUGCUGGGUGAGAGGGCGAGGGAGGCAAUGCGCAGGCGCGGCCCUGGCUCCCUGCUUUAUCAGCUGAGACGUUUUGCUCGCCAACUCUUGGGUAGCUGGACUGCUCGGGUGGACCAGUUCCGGGUUACUCAGUUUGGGUAGCGUGUCCGCAUGUUCGCUGAGAGAGGCGGGGCCGGAGCCACUUGCGCACACAGAGGAAGUCUCCCCCUCGGGGCUGCCACCCGCUGAAGCACCCCAAGGUGGCCCCGCAGAGAGGCCUCAGCCAGAGGAAUGGCCCCCGGGACCCCGAGGCCCCCCUCCCAGGGAUCAAUUGCACUCAAGGAUGUGACUGUGGACUUCACCUGGGAGGAGUGGCGCCUGUUGGACCAUUCUCAGAAAGAGCUGUACCUGGAGGUCAUGCUGGAGAAUGUGCAGAAUCUACUCUCUGUAGAGGCUGAGACUACUUUUGAAGUGACGGAGAUGACUACAAUGCCAAGUUUUUUUGUGAAAAGAUAUGACCCCCAAAGAUGCAUGAAUGAGGGUCCCUCUGGCUUCAUUUUGAGAGAAAUCAUUGACUCUAAUAUCAAGGUAAAUAAAAAUCCAAAGAGUCACAAUGUAUUUGAUGAAAAGACAGAGAAAUUCAGCCAAUAUUCAGUCCUAUAUCAGUAUAUGAAAUUGGCCUUAGGUAAUUGUCAGGAUCACGAAUAUGUCAAGUGCUCUCCUGAAGAAGUAGGACUUAUUCAGUGGCAUGAGAAACCUCUGGAUGUGCCCAUGUAUCAAUGUGACCUAGGUGGAAUGGCCUUUGACUGCAGUUCAGACCUCAGUAGACAUCCAAAAAGGAAAUGUGUAAAGAUAGUUUCUAUGAGUAAUAAAGGUGGGAAACCUUCCAGUCAGAACUCUGAGCCUGCUGCACAUGAAAUAAUACACUCUGGAGAGAAACCUUAUGAAUGUAAAGAGUGUGGGAAGGCUUUCACAUGGAAAGUCUCUCUUGCUGCACAUCAGAGAAUCCACACUGGAGAGAAACCUUUUGAAUGUAAACAGUGUGGAAAGGCUUUUAUAUGGAAGGUCUCUUUUACUGAACAUCAGAGAAUCCAUACUGGAGAGAAACGUUAUGAGUGUAAACACUGUGGAAAAGCUUUCACAAAGAGGGACCAUCUUGUCAGUCAUCAGAGAAUGCACACUGGAGAGAAACCUUAUGAAUGUAAACACUGUGGAAAGGCUUUAACACAGAGGGGCUCUCUUGCCAGACAUCAGAGAAUCCACAGUGGAGAGAAACCUUAUGAAUGUAAACACUGUGGAAAGGCUUUCACUCAGAGGAGCCAUCUUGCUACACAUCAGAGAAUCCACUCUGGAGAAAAACCUUAUGAAUGUAAACACUGUGGAAAGGCUUUAACACGGAGGAGUUCUCUUGCCAGACAUCAGAGAAUCCACACUGGAGAGAAACCUUAUGAAUGUAAGCACUGUGGAAAGGCUUUCACAAAUAGUGGCUAUCUUGCUGUACAUCAAAGAAUCCACACUGGAGAGAAACCUUAUGAAUGUAACCACUGUGGAAAGGCUUUCACAGAGAGGGGUUCUCUUGCUGUACAUCAGAGAAUCCACACUGGAGAGAAACCUUAUGAGUGUAAACAAUGUGGAAAGGCUUUCACAGAUAGCGGCUCUCUUGCUAAACAUCAGAGAAGCCACAGUGGAGAGAAACCUUAUGAAUGUAAACACUGUGGAAAGGCUUUCACAAAGAGGAGCCAACUUACUGCACAUCAGAAAAGCCACAGUGGGGAGAAACCUUAUGAAUGUAAACUAUGUGGAAAGGCUUUCCCAGAUAGCAGUUCUCUUGCUAAACAUCAAAGAAGCCACAGUGGAGAGAAACCUUAUGAGUGUAAAGAAUGUGGAAAGGCUUUUACAUGGAAGGUCUCUUUUAAUCAGCAUCAGAGAAUACACACAGGAGAGAAACCUUAUGAAUGCAAACACUGUGGAAAGGCUUUUAUGUGGAAAGGUGCUCAUACCAAACAUCAGAGAAUCCACACUAGAGAGUAACCUUAGAAUUGCAAACAAUGUGGAAAGACUUUCACAGAUAGGGGCCAUCUUGCCAGUCAUCAGAGAAUCUGCACUGGAGAGAAACCUACUGAGUGUAAACAAUGUGGAAAGGCUUUCACUUGGAGGGAGUCUUGCCAAACAUCAGAGCAUCCACAUUGGAUAGAAACUUAGUGAAUAUCAUUAAUUUGGAUAGGCUUUCAUAUAAAACACCACAGUUGUUUCAUGUCAGAAAAUCUGCCCUGUUAAGAAAUCUCAUGAGUGAGACUGAUCUUAUAGUUGGCACUCUUAGCUUAUUUGACAUAAGAGAAUCCACACGCCUUCUUCCCCUUUCCCAAGUUAUGCUGUUUACCAAUGGAGUAAGUCUGACUAGACUAAAGGGAUCUUUUUUUUUUUUUAAAUAUAUUUUAUUUGAUCAUUUCCAAGCAUUAUUCGUUAAAGACAUAGAUAAUUUUCUUUUCCUCCCCCCCCACCCCCCAUAGCCAACGCGUAAGUCCACUGGGCAUUAGAUGUUUUCUUGAUUUGAACCCAUUGCUUUGUUGAUAGUAUUUGCAUUAGAGUGUUCAUUUAGAGUCCAUCCUCUGUCAUGUCCCCUCAACCUCUGUAUUCAGGCAGUUGCUUUUUCUCGGCGUUUCCACUCCCAUAGUUUAUCCUUUCCUUAUGAAUGGUGUUUUUUUCUCCUGGAUCCCUGCAAGUUGUUCAGGGACAUUACACCGCCACUAAUGGAGAAGUCCAUUACGUUCGAUUAUACCACAGUGUAUUAGUCUCUGUGUACAAUGUUCUCCUGGUUCUGCUCCUCUCGCUCUGCAUCACUUCCUGGAGGUUGUUCCAGUCUCCAUGGAACUUCUCCACUUUAUUAUUCCUUUUAGCACAAUAGUAUUCCAUCACCAACAUAUACCACAGUUUGUUCAGCCAUUCCCCAAUUGAUGGGCAUCCCCUCGUUUUCCAGUUUUGGGCCACCACAAAGAGCGCAGCUAUGAAUAUUUUUGCACAAGUCUUUGUGUCCAUUAUCUCUUUGGGGUACAGACCCAGCAGUGCUAUGGCUGGGUCAAAGGGUAGAUAUUCUUUUGUUGCUCUUUGGGCAUAGUUCCAAAUUGCCCUCCAGAAUGGUUGGAUCAUUUCACAGCUCCACUAGCAAUGAAUUAAUGUUAAAGGGAUCUUUUUAAGCAAUGGUGAAAAGUGGAGACAGAGCAGAGGUUUCUCCCUCAUGACUCUGAGGAACUUUGGGAUGGGGAAGAGAACUGUUGAGGAGAGAAUCCAGGAAGAAGCCUAGUGUCUGGUGGAGGAGCUCCAGAAAAAAAAAAAAGGGUCAGUUCUUCAACCCCACCUUCAUCCUGGGCUGUGCUCCCUGCAAUGUGAUCUGCUCCAUCCUCUUUAACAAUCGCUUCAACUAUGAUGAUGAGAAAUUUCGGAGAUUGAUGAGCCUAUUAAAUGAAAACUAUCAGCUCUUAAACACACCAUGGAUCCAACUCUAUAAUAUGUAUCCUUCACUAAUAAAAUGUCUGCCUGGAAGUCAUAGAACCAUUCAUAAAAAUAGUGGCAAAAUUAUGGUUUUCUUAAUGGACCAAGUGAAGAAGCACCAGGAAACCCUAGAUCCAAACAACCCCCGGGACUAUAUUGAUGUUUUCCUCAUCAAAAUACAACAGGAGAAACUGAAUCCAGAGUCUGCAUUCAAGUAUCAGGAAUUGGUGGCCAAUGCAUCUACUUAGCUGCUGGUUCAGAAACAACAUCCAGCACCCUGAGAUAUGGGCUUUUACUGCUCAUGAAAUACCCAAAGAUUCAAGCCAAAGUUCAUGAAGAAAUUGGCCAAGUCCUUGGCUCAAGUAGAAAACCCUCCAUGCAGGACAGAGUCAAGAUGCCUUAUGUGGAUGUUGUUGUGCAUGAGAUACAGAGAUAUAUUCAUCUUGUGUCCUUGAUUCUUCCACGAUUAGCAGCCUAUGACAUCCACUUCCAAAAAUACUUGAUUCCUAAGGGCACAAAAGUAUUCCCCUUGCUCUACUCCAUCUUGUAUGAUAGAUAAGCAUUUCCCAAUCCAUAUGAGUGUGACCCAGAGAACUUCUUGGACAAAUCUGGAAACUUUCAGAAGAAUGACUGCUUUGUAAUAUUUUCUUCGGGAAAGUGCCUCUAUCUUGGGGAGAGCUUGGCUCAGAUGAAUUUAUUUCUCUUCCUAUUAUUCUGCAGAACUUUACCUUGAAUCCCAUGAUUGAGCCAAAAGAACUUGUCACCACCCCACUCAGAAGUGGAAUUGUCAACAUCCCCUUAAUUUACAAGUUAUUUCUUAUUCCUAGAUAAAUGAUGGACAGUCUUUAUUUUAUAGUCAUUCAAAUUAGGUUCAUUGCUUUGUUCCCAUAACACAGACCAUCAGUAUUUUAAAUGAUGAUCUUGGAUAUUCUUGGUGUUUGGAAGACAUUGCUACCCUCCUCAAGGUAAGAGCAAUUUCUGGAAGAAAAUAAGGAAAAACAUAUGAAGACAUGAAAAGAGAACAACAAUAAUAUAUACUGUUAUUACAUUUUUUAAAGUCACAAAAUUGAGAAAAAACUAUGAAAAUAAAACGAAUCCAAAGGGAACUCAAAAGCAAAGAACGUUUAUAUCAGAACAUAAACACAAUUUACCUCUUUUAAACAUUACAAAUAACCUGGAUAUUAUGAUUCAGCACAUAAUUUUAUGCAUUUCUUUAUUAAAUGACUUUUGAUGACAGUAGUUACUAAGUGUAAAAUAUUUUUUAAAAAACAGUGAUUAGACGGUUCCUUGAAGAGAGACAUAUGUGACCAAGGAACAAGAGAGUCACCACAACCUCAUUCUUGCUCCUCUUGUUUGGCAGCAGCAAAGAAAUACUACAAAGGGAAAAUCAUAUGCUCAGUUCAAGGGUUUAUUUUUAAUCUUAAGAAAUUCUGGAAAGUCUGCAAAUUUUCCUUAGCAAAUGGUUCUAAAUCUUGUUGAAGUGUUGAUUAUAGAGAAAUAAAGGAAUCACAUCUUUAAAAAAAUAAGAGAAUCCACACUUUAGAGAAACUUUAGGAAUAUGACAAAUGUGGUAAGGCCUUCAGGCAUCAAUCAUCUCUUAUUCCUAACCAAGAAUUCCUUUUCAAUAGACAUCUUGCUAUCAUGAAUGAAGAAAGACAUUGAAAUGGAGAGUCCAGAGCUUGUUCAGUAGGAUAAAAUGUCUUCUGAACAGACCAAUUCAAGGUGGAUUCCCUGGAGGAAGGCUUUCAGCCAGGAUCCUAUCUUUUACUUUGUAUCAGAGGAUUCAUAGUGUAGAAAUACCUAAUCAGUAUGCUCAAAUUGUAUGUAUUUUCCUCAGGAUUAGGAUGAUCACUAUUAUUUAGGGAAAUGCAAAUUAUAAUAAGACUGAGGGAAUACCCCAUACCUUUUAGAUUUGCUAUUAUGACAGAAAAGGAAAGGGACAAAGUUGGAGGAGAUGUUGGAAAACUGAGAUACUAAUGAAUUAUUGGGAAAUUUGUGAACUGAUUCAGCAAUUCUGGAGAGAGCAAUUUGGAACUAUGACCAAAGGACAUUAAAAAGAAAAGAAAAGGACCUAUAGGUAUUUUUUAAAAAUCACUUAAAGCUGCUUUUUGGAGUAAUGACAGAAUUGGAAAGUAAGAGGAAGUUCAUCAAUUGGGAAUUUGCUAAGUAAAUGGUGUGGCAUAUGAUUGUAAUGGAAUAUUGUUUUAUAAUUAAUGAGGAGCUUGGAAAAAUUUGAGAACUGAUGCAGACUGAAUUUAGAAGCAACAGGAGAACAUUGCACAUUGUAACAGCAAUAUUGUAUGUAGAACAACUGUGAAUUGAGCUAUUCUCAACAAUAGAAUGAUCCAAAAUAAUUUCAAAGGACUCAGAAUAAAAAUUUCAUCCAUUUCCAAAGAACUGAUCAAGUGUGAAUCCAGACUGUAGCAUACCAGAAUAAGAGUGCAUGGGGAAGAUGUGGAAGAGAUGGAGGACCUGAUCCCUACUACUCAGUCCAUUCUAUCCAAGAACUUGGACUCAUCAUGCAGUUUGCUGAUUUCUGGGUCUGAGCAGAAGCCCAACCCCUCUGCUAAGUUUUGGAGUCUUGCAUGCUUGCAAAAGGUCUCCUUCCCGACCCUAGGGUAUCCUUCGAUCCAAUAAUAUUUUGACGCCCAACGUUUUUGGCUCUCCUGAAAGCUACUCCUGUACUCCGGAUCAUCCAUGAGGACACAGCUUCUCAGGUAGGAAAGAGCCUUUUCUUUGACUCCUGAAACCCCCAUCUUUUGGGUGAUAUCCUUGUGGGACCUCUUUCGUGCUUUCUCUCAUAUCGGCCCCAGUUCAGUCUGGCCACUGGAGUUUGGGGUCUGUCAGCUCCCUCUUAUACUGGAAGACGGUUCUAAGUUGUGUGGGAAGUCUUUCUGCCUCAAUGUUCAACUGAGUGCUCUUGGUCGGGAAACCUCUGUGGACGCACAGUUGUUGACUCUCCAGUGUGGAAUUGGCCAUUCCACAUCUAAAUGGGACAGAGACAGAGAGAAUCCCGAGAUUCCCCUUUGGGGUGUAUACUUUAAAAUUGGAAAAAAAUUGGCACCAAACAGCUUAAAGAAAAAGCAACCAAUUUCUUUUUGUAAUGUUGACUGGCCACGUUACAUCCUUGGUAAGAAGAGGCAUGGCCUAUUCAUGGCAAUUUUUUAUUUUCUUCAGCCUGAGGUCAAGCCAGAUAGGGACUAGCCCACCCAAUUAAGACAAAGGGAGAAGCAUGCUUGUAGGCCUCUCCUGUUGGGAAGAGAUCAAGUCUAAGCAGCCUGAGAGAAAAUUCAGUCAGAUUUUUUGUUUGUUUUCUCUCAUGUUAAAUAGCUGAGCAACAUCCAAAAAAAUGAUGAAUAAAUUGACUUUUUGUUACCCUAAAUUCCAACACCAGCUGGCAAUUGGACAUAUUUUUAUGGACAGAAGCUCAUUGCCUUUUAGCUUUAUUCUCUCACUAGGAUCCCAUUUCUCCAAACUCUACUCUUCACUUGGAUUUUAAGGCAAGGGCCCGCCAAGAAACCCAGGUGGAGAUGGGGGAAGGAAACCAGGAAGCUUUUCAGUUAACUGAUCAGAUCUGCCUUCCUCCUCUACUAAAGAGAGGAAGGGGGUUGAUUCUGAACAGAAAAACUGGUGAGACACCCCUAUUUGGGGGAUUUUUAAAUGUCUUACACUUUUAAAACUAAGGUUUUUUUCAACUUGUAGAACAACCUAUUAAUUAUCUUCUGUUUUGAGGUAAACAGGGAGAGAUAAGAAGACCUGAUAAAUCUCCUUUCCCUGUCUGCUAGACAGAAAGAAGUAAUGCUUAAAAUCUGUCUUUUAGAGGUAUUUAUUGGUAUUUUCAAAAUUGUGAUCAUGUAUUUAUAUGGGUUUAAAAAAUAACAUCCUAAUUUUAAUUUUGUCAGACAGUGAAAUUUGUUUGUAUAGAAAAGCCAUAGAUCAGUUUUGUAAAACAGGCUUUAGCAGUGUUUAAAUUUACCAAAGAUGGGUUUUUGUUUAAGAUUAUCAAACGGUUUUCAUCUCAGUGGUUUUCAUCCCAAUGUAUUAAAGUUGAACUAACUUUAUUAUUACAUUUAACUUCUUGAUCUUGAAAAUAGAUAAUCAGCCUGCUUGUCAAAAAGCUUGCUUUAAGGUUUAUGGUCCUUAAAAGGUUUCAAAGCUCUAAAUUUAAAAUGGAUUUUGUAAUACUAAAUGCUUUAUGAAAUUUUUUUGAAAUGUUAUAUGAGUUGCUGUUGAAAUAUGUAUUUUAAAUAUUGUUUGGAUGUAAACAAGCUCAUUGUAAACCUGACUCUACCAUAGAUUUUGUUCAAUACUCAGUGGUUACCUCAAUUUACCAAUUUGUUCUAUGAACUGAAAUUUAUAACUGAUGAGUACUAUGCUAAAGAUACAGCAUUUCAAUGAUCCUUUAAAUAAGAAUUCUUUUGGUUACCAAUUAGCAAUUGAAGUAAUACCAAGGGAAUGUUUGUUUGACUUAUGAUGCUAAAAGCAAGUCAGAGAAGGUGAAGAGGUAUGUUGGGUUUGAAUUCAGAAGAAAGAGGAACUUUGAUCUAAAGACCAUAAAUCUUGAGUAUGUAGAUUUGUGAAGGAAGAAUGGAAGUUGUGUUCUGCUUUUUAAGCAGAGGGUUUUAAAGGAAAAGAGAGAGAGAGAGAGGUGAAAGAGAACAGAUAGAUGUUUUGCUCUCAUAAUUGGAUCUUUAACUUGGGGAUAAUUUCUAGAAUUGAUGUAUAUAGUUUUGGAAAAAUCACAAAUAAUUCUGGAAUUUCUCUGAAAAUUCCUUAGAGAAAAUUCCUGACUGGUCUUGUCUUAGUUCCUUCAGAUGGCCUAAGGUCAGGAUAUGAUCUAGCCUUGAUUUGUAUAUUACUAUAGAGCUAAUGAAUUCAACAUUCCUGUUCAGGUUUUAUGACUAAAUUGUGACAAAUUAAUUAUUGCCAAAAUAUGUAAGAAUAAUUGCCAUAAUGUAGACUCAUAGGCUUUAAGGAAUCCUUAGAGAGGGCAAAUGGUCAGAAAAGCUUGUUUGAGGGUAUGGAAAUUUGUUUUUGGACUGCUGAUAAGCAGAAUUUCUCUGAGCUGUAAUGGGUGAGACUUGUCCUUUAAGGAAAAAAAGAAGGCUUCUGGGAUCCAGUGGCAAGUGCUCUAAGGAGAGAGAAAGCCCUAGGAUGGUUAUAGAGAAGGCAGCUCAAGGCUCACUUUGGACUGAAUUUUCCUGACCAUCUAGGCCUGCUGAUCCUUGAGUGAAACAAUAAUGGCAGUAACAGCCUUGCUUGGUACAUGAAGCCACUCACUGUGUCCUUUAACAUGAGGAGAUAUUUUCCCUUCUGGGCCUUCUUCCUUGGUGACAUUCCCAUAAUCAGCACAUAAUACAAAUUGGAAAAUUAAAGUUUCCAUUUCCCCAAACAACCUAUUAGGUUAAUAAUUGGACAUUCUCAAAUUGUUAGGGAACAUACUUUGAGAAGUAGAUGAAGUUUAUUCAUUGAUGGCUUGUAUUUGGAGCCUUAAUUUACCACAGUUGAAGUCUGGAUCUUGAGCUUGGAAUAGCUCAAAGCUCUUUUGAAUUUUCCCCAGAAUCUGGAGUAAAGAAAUUCAUCUGUAAAAUAUUGUUACUCAAAUGUUUAUAGAUGUUAUAGUUAAUAUGUACUUUGCAAAAGUAUAUUCUUUAACAGAAACAUCACAUACCAACUCUGCAAACAACUCGGGAAUCCUAAAGGGAUCUAUUCCUGUCAGAAGAUGAUUUCUUAAUAAGUCUGUUGGAUAAGAUACCCAAAUGCAAAUAUGUAAUGCCAAUUGUUAAUUGUACUAAUUUUCUUUGUUUCUAUCCCCCUAGUCCUGAUUUCUAAACUUCUAUCUUAGGGGCUGACUCUCCCCUUGUGACCUGUCUGCCCAUCAGGGGAAGCAGUCGCUGGACAUCCUUCACAUCUCUAAGCAGGUUCCCAGCUACCUAGGACCCAGCAUUCACUGAGGACAUGUCCCUAAGACCCUGUGCCAGCAGCCUUUCCUUCCCUGCUCUCUUAACCCCUUUUACUUUAGCCUUUAACUACCUGGCAAUAACUAUUUCUUUCCUUAAAUUUUGGGUCUUCUUCUAUGUUUUAAAUCAUGCAUACCCAGCCAGCCAGACAUAUAAUCCUAUGAUUCAGCUUGGGGAAGCAGUAGCUAGCCAAAGUGGGUCCCUCUAACUGUUGGGUCUGUAUGAAGCACCCCCAAAGUGGAGAGAACCCCAGGCCUCUAGCCCAAGGUCUCAGUGCCUCUGAGUUGUAUCCAAGACCUGAGGCUUUAGGGAGAUUAGCAACCACUCCAGUUUUGGCUACUCCCCUAUGGUUGGAUAUGUGGACCUUGUAUUUGUAACCUUGUCAUCUCUCUAGUUGCUUCUAGGGUAAAAGCACUCAUGCGAGUCACCCAGAUGCCAGAUGCCACCAUAACCUCGGCCACCAUCCCAGCCUGAUGCUCUGGACAUGGCCUACAGUCAAUACCUCUCUCUCUCUCUCCUAAUGUUAGGCAGGGACAACUCUACACCCAUUCUCAGCUCUGAAGAAGUUACAGAAGACAGACCACCAUCCUUUUUUCCCUUACAUAUUAGGAGUGGGGGAAAUGACAUGGGCACUGUACCCCAGAAACCCAGGCGAACUAUUACCAGGGAAACUCCCUUGUUUUUCCUCCUCCUGACUCUGAACCUAGAAACACCCAAUGACCCCCACCUAGGGUCCUGAGAUGUUUACCCUCUUUUGUCCUCUAGAUUUAAGAUGGACAAAGAGAUGAAUCUUUAUGCCUCCAGGCAGGCCCCAGUCAGAUGACCACCUCACCCCACCAAAUGCCUGAGGGACUAACACUCUCCAAGUCACAUCCACACCAGGACAUAGCAUCUAAAGAGUAUAUAAACCCCAGAACUGAUGUCGUCUGGGGGAACAGCCUCUCCAUCCAUGCUGUCCCCAUGGGGGAACAGCCUUUCCUUUCAUGCCAUCCUCCCAGGAACUGCUCCCCAUCUUGCUGUUCCACCUUGAUAUCCUCCUGGCCACUCUCAACAUUACUUUCUAAAUUAAUAAAUCUCUUUUUUUUGUUUUAAGCUAAA